GAUGAACGCUGGCGGCGUGCCUAAUACAUGCAAGUUGAGCGGGAGGUUUACCUCCAGCAGCGAACGGGUGAGUAACACGUAUCUAACCUGCCCUUAAGUCUGGAAUAACGUUGGGAAACCGACGCUAAUGCCGGAUAGGUAAUUGAAUCUUAUGAAUUAAUUAUUAAAGAAGCGUUUGCUUCGCUAAAGGAUGGGGAUGCGCAGCAUUAGAUAGUUGGUGGGGUAAUUGCCCACCAAGUCAACGAUGCUUAGCCGACCUGAGAGGGUGAUCGGCCACACUGGGACUGAGACACGGCCCAGACUCCUACGGGGAGGCAGCAGUAGGGGAAUCUUCCGCAAUGGACGAAAGUCUGACGGAGCAACGCCGCGUGAGUGAUGAAGGUUUUCGGAUCGUAAAACUCUGUUGUCAGGGAAGAACAAGUACCGGAGUAACUGCCGGUACCUUGACGGUACCUGACCAGAAAGCCACGGCUAACUACGUGCCAGCCGCCGCGGUAAU
rnacentral:rRNA from 1 species